GUUAUAUUGUUCAUGUUAAAAUCAAGUUAAAUAAUCUAUAUAAAUUUAAAAAAAAAAGGUUAAAUAUCCUACAAACGCAAUAUUAUGAUAUACAUAAUAUGAAUGGCUAAUGACUGAUGGUAGUUUUUUAAUUUAUCAAAUAUGUAAAUAAAAGUCAAUUCAACUAAGAAUGAGGAUGUCUAUGUUGUUCUCUAUAUAUCCCACCGAUGAGUCAUGAGUCACUCAUGAAUCAUGAAUCUCCUCCUUUUUUAAUAAUUGCUUCUCAUGUCUCAACAAACAUCAUGAAAUCAUAGAUACUUUCAAAUUGAUAUACUACACGAGCAAACAUAAUUUCAAAUUGGGCAUAUGUAGCCCCGAAUCUCUAAAAUGUUUCACUCCAAUGCUUAGAGAGUUGGAGUGGGUGUGAUUAAAGAAUAGAAACAUUUUGAAUAACUAAAACAUGCACAUCGUUGUGUAUCGUCAUAGUUUAAAUUUGAAUUUUGCCAAAAUGUAAUGAUACAACUGCAAACAUUUUUAUGCAAAUGAUGUUAUAUAAAUUGAUAUAGUAUAUUAUUAUUGGUUAUACCAAAAACAUGGUAUGAUCCACAUGAUUUAUUUAUUUUUUCUUAUUUGAAUAAACUAAUUAUAUUUUACCACAUCAGUUUGUAUAAGAUUGUUUAUAAAAUUAUUUAUGACUCUAUAAUUAUUCUUAUAAAUG
rnacentral:lncRNA from 1 species